AACGAACGCUGGCGGCAGGCCUAACACAUGCAAGUCGAGCGAGGACUUCGGUCCUAGCGGCGGACGGGUGAGUAACGCGUGGGAACGUGCCCCUUGGUACGGAAUAGCCCCGGGAAACUGGGAGUAAUACCGUAUGAGCUCUACGGAGGAAAGAUUUAUCGCCAAGGGAUCGGCCCGCGUUGGAUUAGGUAGUUGGUGGGGUAAUGGCCUACCAAGCCGACGAUCCAUAGCUGGUUUGAGAGGAUGAUCAGCCACACUGGGACUGAGACACGGCCCAGACUCCUACGGGAGGCAGCAGUGGGGAAUCUUAGACAAUGGGCGCAAGCCUGAUCUAGCCAUGCCGCGUGAGCGAUGAAGGCCUUAGGGUUGUAAAGCUCUUUCAGCUGGGAAGAUAAUGACUGUACCAGCAGAAGAAGCCCCGGCUAACUCCGUGCCAGCCGCCGCAGUAA
rnacentral:rRNA from 1 species